AUGCCGACGACAAGCCUCCAGUUCCCCUCCUCGUGCUCGGCUCCCCUCCUCGGGCCGGCGGCACGCAGGAGCUCCUCCUCCUCGCUCCUCCCUCCGCCGACGCCCCUCGCAGAUCUGAGGCCGAGCUCGGCGGCCGCCGCGAGGGAGGGGCAGAGGGCCGGCGCGAGCUGGAGCAGAGCUCCGCCGCGGCCGGCGAGGGCCACCUAUCCGCCGCGAGGGAGGAGCAGGGGAGAGGAGCUGGAGCCGGAUCCGCGACGCUCCGCCCUCCCCACCCGCGGCCGCGCGCACCGGCUCAAGGAGGCGGCGGAUGGGAGGCCUCGGCCAUGGCAGAAUGCACAAGAGAGAAACAGUGGAGGUUGGGUGACCGUGGGGGAAAGGAAGAAUCACAGAAGAUCACAUCAGCACUCUGAAGAAUGGAAGGGGUAUAAAAGACUACCAUCUGAACAAGAAUACUCUGAGGAUGUCAGUCAUAUCCACCAUGGCCUAAAUGUUGAGCCUACCAGGGAAGAACUCGACAAUCUAUCAAAAGCGUGCUCCCGGCUAUGGGAACUUGAUCUAAACCGCCUCACUCCUGGCAAGGACUACACAAUAGAGUGUGGUGAAGGGAAGAAGGUAUAUCAUAAGGGUGAUAAGGCAUCUGAAAAUCUGUUCAGCUAGCUGGAACACAGUAUACUGAGGAGGCCUACAUACUCCCGUUUCUGUGCACUCCUUGACAACUACAACCCCCACCAAGGAUACAAAGAAUCAGUCACCCAGCAGGACAAGCAUGAAGAAGCUGCUUUUAUCGAGGAGAUAUCUAGGAGUGCUCCCAUCAAGUACUUGCACCGGUAUUUGGUGAUGAAGGAAUCUAUGUCUCAGGACUAUGAGGACUUAAAGAAAGUGAUGACAUCCCUGUGGUUUGAUUUGUGUGGAAGAGGGGGCUGCUCUAGUAGCUCUUCUGCCUUUGAACAUGUGUUUGUUGGAGAGAUCAAGGGGCAGAAGCAUGGUGAGGAUGAAGUGUCAGGCUUUCACAACUGGAUUCAGUUUUACCUUGAAGAAUCCAAUGGUAAUGUUGACUACCAAGGGUACAUAUUCCCAAGGAGGCGUGGGGAGCUGCCAGACUCUGAAACACAGCUGCUCACCAUUCAAUUUGAGUGGCAUGGUGUGUUAAAAUCUGUUUCCAGCACAUUGAUUGGUGUCAGUCCCGAGUUUGAAAUUGCACUCUACACUCUCUGCUUCUUUGCUAGAGGGGAAGAUAAUCAUGUAGAUAUUGGCCCAUAUUCGGUGAAUAUCAAGUGCUACAGGUUGGGGGAUAACAAGAUUGGUUCAGCUUUCCCAAUUGCAGAAAACUGAUUCUGGUGGCCAUGUACGGAAAGGUCAGUUAGGUUUCAGUCUGUUUCUAUCAGCAAAAAUAAAUUGUAUUGCUCAAGAACUUGUGGCUUUAUUGUAAUAUGUAUUGUAUGAUGUAACUCUUGAUCAAGAUAUACCUAUAUAAGUUAAAAUAGUUGUUUUCCUCACAUGUGGAAAUCGAAGAAAUCA